rnacentral:rRNA from 1 species
UACAGAGGUCUCAAGCGUUGUUCGGAUUCAUUGGGCGUAAAGCGCGUGUAGGCGGCCAGGUAGGUCUGCUGUGAAAACUCGAGGCUCAACCUCGAGACGUCGGCGGAAACCAUCUGGCUAGAGUCCGGAAGAGGAGAGUGGAAUUCCUGGUGUAGCGGUGAAAUGCGCAGAUAUCAGGAAGAAUAUCCGUGGCGAAGGCGGCUCUCUGGGACGGUACUGACGCUGAGACGCGAAAGCGUGGGGAGCGAACAGG